AGAUUGAACGCUGGCGGCAGGCCUAACACAUGCAAGUCGAGCGGUAGAGAGGUGCUUGCACCUCUUGAGAGCGGCGGACGGGUGAGUAAUGCCUAGGAAUCUGCCUAGUGGUGGGGGGAUAACGUUCGGAAACGGACGCUAAUACCGCAUACGUCCUACGGGAGAAAGCGGGGGACCUUCGGGCCUCGCGCCAUUAGAUGAGCCUAGGUCGGAUUAGCUAGUUGGGUGAGGUAAUGGCUCACCAAGGCGACGAUCCGUAACUGGUCUGAGAGGAUGAUCAGUCACACUGGAACUGAGACACGGUCAGACUCCGUACGGGAGCAGCGAGUGGGGAAUAGUUGGACAAGUGGGACGAAAGCCGUGAUCCGAGCCCGAUCGGCCCGUGGUGGUAGGUAGGAAACGGUAGGUU
rnacentral:rRNA from 1 species